rnacentral:rRNA from 1 species
CACCGGGGGUAGACAACAGGGAUUGCCUCAGUAACGGCGAGUGAAGCGGCAAAAGCUCAAAUUUUAAAGCUGACAUCUUCGGUGUCCGCGUUGUAAUUUUGUGAGGCAUCUCCGGGUAGGGCGCCGGCCUAAGUUCCUUGGAACAGGACGUCACAGAGGGUGAGAAUCCCGUGCUUGGCUGGCUGUCCCCGUCCAUGUGAGGUGUCUUCGACGAGUCGAGUUGUUUGGGAAUGCAGCUCAAAAUGGGUGGUAAAUUUCAUCUAAAGCUAAAUAUUGGUGGGAGACCGAUAGCGCACAAGUAGAGUGAUCGAAAGAUGAAAAGCACUUUGAAAAUAGAGUUAAAAAGUACGUGAAAUUGUUGAAAGGGAAGCGCUUGAGACCAGACUUCGGUAAGGGGUGAUCAGCCGUCCUUCUGGGCGGUGCACUUGCCCCCCUCCGGGCCAGCAUCGGUUGAGGCGGCGGGAUAAAGGUCCCGGGAAUGUGGCUCCUUCACGGGAGUGUUAUAGCCCGGGUGAAUGCCGCCAGCUUCGACCGAGGACCGCACCCGCAAGGGUUAGGAUGCUUGGCAUAAUGGUCUUCAGCGACCCGUCUUGAAACACGGACCAAGGAGUCUAACAUCUAUGCGAGUGUUUGGGUGUCAAACCCUUGCGCGAAAUGAAAGUGAACGGAGGUGGGAACCCGCAAGGGCGCACCAUCGACCGGUCCCGAAGUCUUCUGAAGGAUCUGAGUAGGAGCAUAGCUGUUGGGACCCGAAAGAUGGUGAACUAUGCCUGAAUAGGGUGAAGCCAGAGGAAACUCUGGUGGAGGCUCGCAGCGGUUCUGACGUGCAAAUCGAUCGUCAAAUUUGGGUAUAGGGGCGAAAGACUAAUCGAACCAUGCUAGUGCCC